CAUGCCACUGCACUCCAGCCUGGGCCACAGAGCAAGACUGGUCUCCAAUUAAAAAAAAGAAAAUCAGUUUUUAAAGUAAACUUUCAAAAGUCUGUAGCUACUUUGUGUCAAUUCUGCACAAGAUGGGUUUUCCUAGUAUUGGAAUUUUGGAGGGUCUGCCCCUCUCUGUUGACAUUUGGAAAAAAACAAAUCUUCAUUCAUAUAAUCUCAGACAGUUCUUAACCCCACUGCACAUUAACAUUACCUGGGGAGCUUAAAAACAAAAGUUAUUCCUGUUCUUCACCCAACUCCCAUACAACUGAAUACAAUUUUCUGGAGAGGAGCUGGGUUGGGUAUUACUUAGGCUCUUUGGAAGAUUUUCCUGAGCAGAAAAUGUUUAGAAGCACUGAUCUAGGAUAAUAAGCAAUCAUCUAGGAGGGAAGCCGUGUAGAUAUUUUGUUUUGAUCUCAGAGGCAUAAGAAUGAAUUAACCACUCCUCAUUCCCCCAGAGAUAAUGUGUGGAAAAACUUGUUUUCAAACCAUCCCGAAGAAAAGCAAAUGUGAUUUAAGGCCAGAUUGUUUCCAAGUGGCCUUUUGCAGUUCCUUUGUUCUGCAUUCAGACUGAGUUGUGCGUGGAAAUAGUUUAGGUAUUAGUCCAUGAACAUGGAAUUUGACCUUGGUAAGGAAAUACAUCCUCCGCUUUCCUCACUAACCAAUUGUAUUCAUUUGUUAGGGCUGCUGGAAUAAAGUGCCACAGAUGGGCGGCUUAGAACAACUGAAGUAUACCUUCUUGGGUCUGGAGGCGAGAAGUCUGUGUAGCAGGGCCAUCCUGCCUCUGAAGUCUCUUUACUUCAGGCCAUCUGGAUGUAUAUGUGCAAGUCACAGGGGAUGCGAUGGCUUGGCCUGGGCUCAGAGGCCUGACAACAGGGAUGGAACCCUCAUGAAUGAGAUUAUUGCCCUUAUUAAAAAGGCCCCAGAGAGCUACUUCAUCCCUUCUGCCAUAUGAGGACACAGCAAGAAGACAGCUGUCUAUGAACCAGGAAUCAGGCUUUCACCAGACACCGACUCUGACGUGAUCUUGGACUUCCCAGCCUCCAGAAGUGUCAGAAAUAAAUGUCUAUUGUUUAAGCCACCCAGUCUGCAGUAUUCUGUUACAGCAGCCUGAACUGAGGUAAAACAGGUGGAAGGCCCUGUCAAAGCAUCCUUGUAUGCUGCUGAAAGUUACACCGCCUCUUUUCCUUAUUCUAUUUUUUUUCCUUUUAUUCUAUUUUUUUUAUUCUAUCUGAGAUGAGGAAUUGAUGGUUAGCAUGCUUGCUGCCGUCUUGAACCUUGGGGUGAUCUUGUUAAGUCAGUGGAACCUAUAGAUUGAGGGAGCCCCAAUUUCAAAUUUCCUUAGGGCUAUCAUGCCAGCUCUGGGCUGACUCCUCUAAGCCUCUCUUUAUUUGUGUAGACUUAUCUCUAGUUAAAACCACUUUAUAUGGGGUUUCCUUUUAUAUACAGUAGAACCUAAUCUUUAUUGAUAUAUCCCCAAAUUUGGAACUUUAUGAGUUUCGUUUAAGUUAUAAACAUCACUAAUCAAAUCACCUAAAUUCUGUCUUCAAGGUACAUUUCCUGAGCCUAAAACUUGCCUUUCUUUCCUUAAGAGGAAAAGGAACAAUUUGGAGUUUAUAUUUAAAAACUCUCUGAGUUCCAAGAUGAUUGGAACAAGUCUCAAUGGGAGGAACAGGUCAAGUCACAUUGUACCUUUAGUGUCUCCUGGUGACAAUGAAAGGGAGCUUUCAGUUGACACGUGCAUGAAGGAAGGAAGGAGUGCUGGGUGAGAAGCAGCAUAGGACUAGAGGAAAGCAAGAGAGUGAUUGCUUUUCGUUAUACUUUCCUACUUUUCAAGUCUGUUUAUUGAGGGAAUUCAGUUGUAAUGAUGUGUUGAAAGUGCUUUUUAAAUGAUAAAAUGCCUUAUGUAUGUUAUUUACUGAGCACUGAGUUAUAUAUAAGGAUGUUCAGAUACACUACGACAGUUUUUCCAAGUGACAACUGCUAGAUAUUAACAGGUGUCAUAAGCAAGAAAAGUUUGUGACAAACGGGUUUGGGAAAUGUCAUGUCAGGUCUCUUUAUUACAGGACUUCUCAGUGCCUUUAACGUAUUAAUGUACAUUGUGAGUAUCAAAGAAAAAGGAAGGUUGUGGGGAAGGGGAUAUGCCAUGCGGUAUUAUUUUUUAAUAUUAAAAAUAUGGGUGUCUUGAAGAAUAGAACAACCUUGGAGAAAGGCAGCUUUAGGAAGAAUUAUGUAAAGAUGUAAGAAUACAUAUUUAGUACCUACUAGAUGCAAGGUUCCAGAGCAUACAUAAAAUGAGACACAUUGUCCUUGAAUUCUGAAAACAAACACUUUUUAUGGGUUGGUGGGGCGCAAAACAUUUACAUGUGGAAGAAUAAUAUUUAGGAUAGAAUCUAAGUGCCACUUGUACCCAACAUUGUACCCAAUAGGUAACUUUUCAACCUUCAUUCAGUCCCUGUCUUCUGAGAGCUUAUGAUGUAGGGCUGGUGAGGAUGGUGGAUAAGGAUGAGGCCAAGGAUAACAUGGAGUGGGAUUAGAGAACACAGGCAGUGGUGAAGAGGUUCAAAGAAGACAAUUGUCACACCCAAGAGAGGGAUUACGGAGGGGAAGGAGAGACUCACUAAAGGGAGGAUCUCACAAGAUAGGCAGAAUUUCAAGAGAGAUGGGAUUGAGGUCAUUUUGUGGGCUGAAGCUAUCCUCCUACUUCAGCCUCCUGAGUAGCCGGUCUUGAACUUCUGGACUCAACAGUACUUUCUAAUACUGGAGUUAUUAGAAAAAAAAACAAACCCAAAACUUAAAAAGGAAGACCCUUAUCCUUCACUGAGGAUCUGUUUCUUUUUUAAAAAAAUUUUAAACAUUGUUUUAUAAAGAUAAUGUCUCACUGUGUUACUCAAGCUGGUCUUGAACUCUUGGUCUCAAUUGACCUUCCUUCCUCUUGACUCCCAAAGUAUUGGGAUUACAGGCGUGAGCCGCCGUACUUGGCUGAGGAGCUUUUUAAUGGGAAAUUCUUAGAUGGCUUCAUUGUCUAUGGGUGUAAUUUCCUGAGACAGUCCUACUAUCCUGGUCUUUAUUGCUGUAUUUGAAUUUCUUUUCUUUUCCUUUUUUUUGAGAUGGAGUCUCGCUCUGUCACCCAGGCUGGAGUGCAAUGGCACAAUCUUGGCUCAUUGCAACCUCUGCCUCCCGGUUUCAAACGAUUCUCCUGCCUCAGCCUCUGAGUAGCUGGGAUUACAGGCAUGUGCCACCACGCCUGGCUAAUUUUGUAUUUUUAGUAGAGACAGGGUUUCACCAUAUUGGCCAGGCUGGUCUCGAACUCCUGACCUCAUGAUCUGCCCGCCUCGGCCUCCCAAAGUGAUGGGAUUUCAGGCGUGAGCCACCUCGCCCGGCCUUUGAAUUUAUUUUCUUUUGAGUAAUAGGUACAGUUCUACUGUUCUACAUGAAGAAUGAGUUUACAUUCUUCACAUAAAUUUCUAAGUGUCAACUUAUAAAAGCUCUAUUACCAUAUUUCUAAUUUUUUUCUGUUCAUUAAUGUCAUUUUAGACUUCUGUUUGAUGGUUUCUGUUCCUCAACUCAUUGUUCUCAGAAUAGCCUUUGAAAGUCACAUUAAACACAGAUGAGAUGUGCAAAAUAACUUCAAAUUUUUAGAGAAGAAACCACAUAAAGGUGGCGUUGGGUUAUCUGGGACAGGGAUACGGAGGGAAGCAAAACUAAGUAUAUGUGCCUUCUAGUGGGCAUUCCAGCAAAGAAGCCAGAUUGAUUUUCUAUUUGAUUUCUUCUGAGUGGUUUCACUCCUUGCUGGAGUCAAUGUCAUAUGAUCUUGAUCAUUUGCCAAUAUAAGUAAGAAAUCUAAGUGUAAUUAUUGGACAGGAAGGGAAGCAAGAACUCUUCAGCUUUAAAAUCCAAUGGCAUAUAAUAAUAAUUAACCCUGUUUUGUGGAAUAAAAUAUCAGCAGGAAUAUUUAACAUGAAGCAUACUGUUUCCCAAUACCUUCGUUGCAUUGUCAAAAAGUUUUAGCCCCAGGAUUCUGUUUUUUAUUUACUGUUUCUGUCCACCUCUCUGCUAAGGAACUUGUUGGUCUGCUGAUUCUAUUAAGAUUAGCAUUGCAGUAGCCCAACCUUGAAAACAGCUAUGCUGGAAGGAUCAAUGACUCUAGCCAUCAAAGUGGACAAGGGAAGGGAACCUCACUUGCAGUUCCUCGGUCUACCUGCCCACCUCAGCUUCAGGGCCUUUUGAUAUGGUGGGCUAGAGGAGGUCCAAAUGCUGGUGGGAUCUCAACCUCACCUGGUGUCCAGGUGCUUGACACCAUCCCAAGAAGGAAUUCAUGAGUCAGAAAAUUGUAGAAGUAUGGAGAUUUAUUGCAAAGGGAAAAGUACACCCUCAAGGGGCAAGGGGAGCGUGGGCAUACUCAGGAGAGUUGUGCGUGUGAGGGGGUUUGGGGCUGCUACCUUUAUGGGCUUCAUUCACCAAGGUGGGGAAUAUUCAUGAAAAUUCCUGGAAGGUGGUGGAGAUUUCUUGGAACUGUGGUGUCACCGUUUUUAUACCAAAUGUGGGUGUUCCUGAAACUAUCAUGGCACUCGUGGGGGAGUUGAUUAAGUAUGCUAAUGAGUGCAUAAUGAGGUUCUAAGAGGAACCUAGGUCAGAUCCAGCAUCAUUUUGGGUCCAGUUGGUCUUAGCCAGCUUGGUCCACGCCCCAGUAUUUCAGGGUCUUAUCAGUCCCUAGCUUCUGCAGGUAAUUUCAACAGUUUCUUUUUACUAGUCAUGUGAAACUCCUGCCUGGAAUUUUCUGUUCUCCUGAACCACUCUGUAUUAUUCCUGUCUCGCUUUGACUUGGUGUUCCCUGCCCCAAAAGGCUCUUUGCCUGGUCUCUGCACAGUUGCUACCUAAAAAGUCUUUUCCUGACACCUCCCACCCCUCGAGUAAAAUCACACAUUCUUCUGGCUUCCUAUUCUUUCAUUUUAACUUUUUAAAUACUUCUCACCCUUCAUGUGUUACCUGUUUGUUCAUGAUGUAUUUGUUUGUGAACUGUCUUCUCCCUAGAGCAGUACCCUAUCAGGACUUAGGCUCUGGGGAUUUCACUGCUCAUUCUCCAGCCUGGCACAUAAGAGGUGGUCAGUAAAACUGUCGAAUGAAUGAGUGAAUGAGUGAAUCACAGUUAACCUCAGUUAUAAAGAUGUAAUCAUCAGUCUUCCCAAAAUUCUUACAAUACUGGACACUUUAAAGGAAAUGAGGCUUUUUUAAAAAAAGAAAAAGCAUUUCCUGGCAGGAAUUUAUGUAUUUGUAUGCAAUAUGUGGGUAGUUACAGUACAGUGCAAGAAAAACAACCAUAUUUCCUGUCCUCUAGGAAUUUGAAAUCUGUAAAGAACUCUAACAUUGGAAAUGCCUGAUAACAUACAUCUGCAGUUAUUUGUGGCAAAAGACAAGGCAAAUAGGCAAAUAUUCGGUAUUAUAAAAAAUGCACAGAUUUCAAAGGACAAGUAUAGGUGGAUUUACAUGCCUACAUCUUUUGAGGUCUUUCUUCUUUGAGAGGAAAGGGAGAGACCCUGGUUAGGCCAGAAAUCCAUGGAGAAGAGUUUUCUUCCUCUUCUGCCUUCCACUGUGGUUGGUAGAUUUUCAAGAUUUUAGUGGAGAUUGAUGGAGGAUCCUGCAGGCUGCAGCCUCAUCCCCCUCACAAUGUAUUUUUUGUAAUAGGUGAAAUGCUGCUUCUUUAUUAUGGUCAGGAGAAAUGUUCUCUCACUGCUGGUGGCCAGUAUAUAAAUCUUAACUUGUAUGUUUAUAUAUUCAGCAUUAUGUAUGUGUAUGUGCGCAUGUGUGUGUGUUUGUGUGUAAUGGAUUUUAGUUGUGCAUUUAGUAGGAUAAAACACAUGCAUUUCUUUCAUUUAUGACUUAUACUGUGACUAAUUGUGGUUCAUUUUAAGACUAUUUAUUUUAAAGAGUUACCGCAAAAAAGUCUUUGAAUUGUUGGCAUGCUAAAGUUAAUGAUAAUAAGAAUCAAGAUUUUGAAAAGCACACUUCUUAAUUUCUUCUUUCCUCAUUUAACCAGAGCUGAACAGCUUACAAGUAGAAAUCAUGGGUUUUGGUAUAUAGAAAUAUAGGCUUAAAAAUAUGGAUGCAAUUUUAAUACAAUGCAGUUUUAUGAGGCGGAAUAUCUUAGUUGUUUGACCCUAACCGACUUCAUUAGGAUGUUGUAAUUCCCCUCCUUUAACUUGCCCAUUUUGGGCGGGGGGGAAUCCUUGUGGAAUGCAGUGAUUCAAGAGCUUAAGGACAGCAAGAGAGCAGGGGUAGGGAUGGUUACAAGGUAAGACGUGUAGUCCCUGAGCAAGGCCUCCUUAAGGAUGUGAAUUCUGAUUACUGCAACUGAAGAAGACAGAUGUGGGAAGAGAGUGCAAAUCCCAGUCACCCCACCCAUGCCCGUCUUUUGCUGGCUGAGGGGUGGCUCUGUGUCUUUUGCUCCACAUCCCCUGUGAAUGUGAGGGCAAAGAACUCUGCUGAAGUUGUUGGUCUUUUGUCAGAAGAAGGCUUUAAGUACUGGCAUUCUUUCCUCAUGAGCACAGAUCCGGCUCCUGUUUCUCAGGGAGGGCAGUGAACUUGCUCUACAUUCCUCAUGGGUAAUGAAGUUGUUCCCAAGCCUGUCACCACCACAUCCUUCCAACCCUGCUCUUAAGCUUCUUUUUCAGAGGGAAGCAGAAUGUUUACUCAGUAGGACAUCCUAAAGGACAGAGGCAAGGCAAGGAGAGGAUGGAGAAAAGCUCAUUCUCUUUUGACCACAAUCACUGUCACUGGCUGCAGGGUGUGGAAAAUGGGAAGGCACAGUAUAUCAUCAUUUCCUCAGGACGGAAUGCUGGCCAGUGCCCGAUGGGAACAACAGCUAGCAAAUUAGUGAAUUGUGGCUGCCCAUUAUUUAAGAGAGAACACGUGGUAACCACCUUCAGUAAAUAAAUGCAGAUGAAUUUGGUGAUUUACAACUCUUGUGUUUUCUUGUGGUAACACAGUUGUCCAACUGAUCAGGCAUGAAUGUUAAUUUACACACCAUAAGGUACGUGGUUAGUGGUUCUCAACAUUUUUAAACAUGAGAAACCUGUUCUAACAUACACAGAGUUCACAGAUCUUUAAGAACUUUUAGCUGUUCUGUUAUCUGUUGGUUGAGAAGACACAUAAUGGUGAGAUCAAAAUGUAUUAAGUGGAUUUGAAUUACAAUUAUCAUGGAACUUACUAUAUUUGAAAACUGUGUGUAUGUAGCAUAUUACACACAAUGGUGCUCAGGGAUUCAGGAUCUUUUCUCGUCCCCACCAAACUGAGGACCCUCCUCUGCCCUCCCCCGUUCUCAGUUCAGGGCCAAAGCCCCCAGGUUGGGAUCUACUGGGAGAAUCAAAAGAUUGUGAAUUUUGGGUCAGGCAGAGAGGGGAUCAAAUUUCAACUCUACCACAUCCUGUAUGAUCUUGGGUAAGUUACUAAACCUUGCUGUGCCCCAGCUUCCUCGUCUUUAAAAUGGAGAUCAGUUCCUAUGAAGACUUAACCUCCUAGGGGUUUUGGAGGAAUUGAAGUUUUGUUGUACCAUGAAUAGUGCCUGCGCAGGAAAGGUGGCACUUAAAAUUUUUUCCCCACUUCUUGCCUACUCUCCCCACCUCCAGGACAGAUUCAAGACCAGUAAUGCACAAGAUGAAAAUCAAUAAGUUAAUUCUUUCUGCCUCUGAGCAUUCAUUUAGCCGGUACUGUAUGUUCUAGUUAGUAGAGCUAUUUGACAAAUGACUACUACUUUUAGUGGCGUAAAACAAAUCUUUAUUACACUCACCAAUUCUCUGGACAGGGUACAACAGGGACAGCUCGUCUCUGAUCCGUGUUGUGGAACUUCAGCUGGGCAGACUGAAAGGAUGGGGGCUAAUUACCUGGUGGCUCAUUCCCUCAGCAUCUGACGGAUAAUGCUGGCUGUCACCUAAGACCUUAACUGAGGCUUUUGGCCAGAACGCUGGUGCCCCAUUGGCCCUGGCUUUCUCACAGCAUGGUGGCUGGGUUCCAAAAGGAAACAUCCUGAGAGAGCUAAACGGAAACCUCAUCCAUCCCCUGUCAUGGUCUAGCCUUGGAAAUCAUACAGCAUCGCUUCUGCCACCUUCCAUCCAUUGAGAUUGUCACAACAUCCCGCUCAUAUUCAAAGGGAGGAGAAAUAGAUUAUGCCUCUUGAUGCAAGGUGGUUCUGGAGAGUAUAUGGGAACAGAAAUCUUACCGCACCCUUUGUGGAAAAUCUCUGCCACGGUAUGUGAGCAGUUUGUAAAUUUAUAGAAAGGGACUCCUUGAAUGUCCUUGCACUGCUCUUCCCUGAGUUACCGUGGUUGCACGCUGGACUAAAAGCUAAGACCUUAACACAAAGACCUGAAAUAUAGUAUCUGAACUCUGUCCCAGGGCACGUGUCACCUUCUAGCUUUGAACUGGAGCCUGGGUUUUCAUCUAAAAGCUGGCUUUUAGAUGUCUGGUCAAUGGCAUGUCAGUAACUGAACUCUGCGCUAUAUGCUAGGUGGUAAUAUCAAGGUGUAAGACGCACCAGCGAAGCCAAGGGCUGACUUUCUUUCCAAUUCAAAGAUAUUUUUUGUGGUAACUCUUUAAAAUAAAGUCUUAAAAUCAGCCCUAACCUGAUUUUAUUUCUGGACAAGAGCCAUAUUACCUGUACCCCACUUUGUCUCCAUUACUAAAAGUUCACCAAUUACAUUGUCUUCCUAAGAUUUAAAAAAAAAUUUAAAUAAUUAUAGAAAAAGUUGUAGUGUUUGGAAAGCUACCUUAGAAGGAGAAGAAUUGGCCUCUAGUUAGGAAUGAGAAUUCUUCCUUAUGAUAUUAUGACAGUUACUUUCCCCAGUAAAUAUUUAUUUCUUCUCAGAGCUUAUUUGCAAGUGAGAUAUACUUAAAGCUAAACAAACGAUUAGCUCACAAAGUGUUAAACCAAAAAGAAGUUUCGCAGAAAAAGAAUGGACACAUAAUUUUAAAAAUGUAUAUGUAUCAUAUAGUUUGAUUAUGUGUAAACCAAAAAUUUAAGGGAGGAUGAUGGGUUGUUUAUCAUUUAUAUGGAGUCAAGUUAGUCUAUAAAAUGUUCAAUCGCUUCCAGACUCUGAAAGUCAUUCUAUGACCCUGUCUCAGAUUUUUUUUUUUUUUUUUUUUUUUUUUUGAGAUGGAGUCUCGCUCUGUCGCCCAGGCUGGAGUGCAGUGGCGCAAUCUCGGCUCACUGGAAGCUCCACCUCCCGGGUUCAUGCCAUUCUCCUGCCUCAGCCUCCCGAGUAGCUGGGACUAUAGGCGCCCGCCACCACGCCCAGCUAAUUUUUUGUAUUUUUAGUAGAGAUGGGGUUUCACCGUGUUAGCCAGGGUGGUCUCGAUCUCCUGACUUUGUGAUCUGCCCACCUCGGCCUCCCAAAGUGCUGGGAUUACAGGCGUGAGCCACCGCGCCCGGCAGAUUUUUUUUUCUACUUGACUAAUAAAAGUAAUAGCGCUUUCAUGAGGUCUCACUGGGCUGUUUGGAGUAUGUGAGGGAUAACAGAGGUGAAAAGUUUUUGGAAAUCUGCAUGUGCUAUUCACAUGUAAAGUUCUGGCUUUUAUUUUUUACUUUUUUUACUUAUUAGAGCUAGUUCUCACUAUGUUGCCCAGGCUGGCCACAAACUCCUGGGCUCAAGUAAUCCUCCGCGCUCAGCCUCCGGAGUAGCUGGAAUUACAGGAGUGCACUGUAAUUUUUGUUGUUGUUGCUAUUAUUAGUCAGAGGUGGGACUCCAUGACAGCCCACAGAGAGGGGAGGAACAAAGACCUGCCUUCCCACAUGGGUUCUCUUCCCCUAUUUCUUAUAUUUCCCCUUCUUCCUUCUCCUCUCUUAAGUCUCUUUCUUCCCAUUGCCUUUUUUUCCUUCCCUGUCUUCUGUAAGGUCUUCGGCCUCCCGUUGUUGUCCAUAGAUAUUGCUUCUGGUAUCUGGACUCUGAAUGCCUUGUGAUCAAAACUAUGUUGUUUAUAUAGAUAUGUGUGUGUAUGUAUGUAGAUGUAGAUGUGUAUAUAUAUAUAUAU